GAACCGUACGAACGUUAUUCGGAAUCACUGGGGCUUAAAGGGGUGCGUAGGCGGCCUGGUCAGUUGGGUGUGAAAUCCCUCGGCUCAACCGAGGAACUGCGCUCAAUACUACCAGGCUUGAGGGAGAUAGAGGUGAGCGGAACUGAUGGUGGAGCGGUGAAAUGCGUUGAUAUCAUCAGGAACGCCUGUGGCGAAAGCGGCUCACUGGGUCUCUUCUGACGCUGAGGCACGAAAGCUAGGGUAGCGAACGGGAUUAGAUACCCCGGUAGUCCUAGCCGUAAACGAUGAGCACUAGACCGGAGACCCUUCCACAGGAUUCCGGUCGUAGCGAAAGUGUUAAGUGCUCCGCCUGGGGAGUAUGGUCGCAAAGGCUG
rnacentral:rRNA from 1 species